rnacentral:misc_RNA from 1 species
CCAAUAGCGUAUAUUAAAGUUGUUGCAGUUAAAAAGCUCGUAGUUGAAUUUCGGGAUCAAUUUGUUGGUCGUGCCUCGGUACGUACUGGCAUUAUUGGUUUCUACCUUCUGAAGAACCUUGAUGUCAUUAAUUUGGUGGCUUGGGGAAUCAGGACUGUUACUUUGAAAAAAUUAGAGUGUUUAAAGCAGGCAUACGCUUGAAUACAUUAGCAUGGAAUAAUGAAAUAGGACGUUUGAUUCUAUUUUGUUGGUUUCUAGGAUCGACGUAAUGAUUAAUAGGGAUAGUUGGGGGCAUUAGUAUUCAAUUGUCAGAGGUGAAAUUCUUGGAUUUAUUGAAGACUAACUACUGCGAAAGCAUUUGCCAAGGAUGUUUUCAUUAAUCAAGAACGAAAGUUAGGGGAUCGAAGACGAUCAGAUACCGUCGUAGUCUUAACCAUAAACUAUGCCGACUAGGGAUCGGAUGAUGUUAUUUUUAAUGACUCAUUCGGCGCCUUACG